GACGAACGCUGGCGGCGUGCUUAACACUUGCAAGUCGAACGAAGUGGCGAACGGGUGAGUAAUACGUGGGUAACCUGCCCUCCUUUUUGGGAUAAGCCUUGGAAACGGGGUCUAAUACCGAUUAAAGGGGGAUGGGCUCGCGGCCUAUCAGCUUGUUGGUGGGGUGUUGGCCUACCAAGGCGGUGACGGGUAGCCGGCCUGUGAGGGUGAUGUGCCACAGUGGUAUUGAGAUACGGCCCAGACGCCUAGUGGAGGGAGCAGUGGGGGAUAUUGCACAAUGGGCUAAAGCCUGAUGCAGCGACGCCGCGUGGGGGAUGAAGGCUUUCGGGUUGUAAAGUACUUUCAGCGAGGAGGCGUUACUCGCAGAAGAAGCACCGGCUAACUACGUGACAGCAGCCGCGGUAAUAC
rnacentral:rRNA from 1 species